AAUUAAUUGUAGAUUUUAAAUGAUUGUAUAUGCUUUUAACAAAAAAAAAAAAAAAAGAAUUGAAUGUGGUUCAUUAAACACUAAACGAAACCCAGGCUUCUAUACCACCGCUGCAAGGAUGGCCGGGAUUUGGUGUUAUUUCUUUGUCAGAUUGGUGAUCUGAAUCGUUUAUUUGGAAGUUGGUUUGUGGUGCUUUCCUUGCCAAGUUGAUUGCUGCUUCAACAAUUGGGGAUUGUGAAAUUUUUUUAAGCUGUGAUUAACCAUUUGUUUGGGAAUUUUCAUUUUCCCGUUGAUGGUUGUUACCAGUAUGUGUAUAGAAACUUAGCCUUUGAUUGUUUGAGCAAACAGAUAUCAAAUUAUUAUUGUCAACAAUGGUGAUUUUGAGGAGAAAAGAAACACUAUAGUAGGUCAAGCAUGGAAGACCCGAUGCAGCGAUAUCUCUUCUUCGCCGUGACAAAGGGAACUCGCACCGGUGUUUUCACGACCUAGGAAGACGCUAGGGAGCAACUUCGUGAUUUUAAUUUUCCAGAAGUCCAUGGCUUUAACAGUUACCAACAAGCUGUGUUGGCCUUCAAUGCAAGAUUGUGGUGCAUUAUGGCUGAGAAAUGUGCAACUCUAGAAAUGAUGGGCGGUUCCAUCGAUACUGUGUGUGGUCAAAAAGGAGGCUCAGAGUGUGGAAGUUUUUGUGGCCGUCCAAGUGUUUCUUGGCUGCCAGUCAUUCCAUAAGAGGAGCUGAAUGCUAAAUUUGCUAUAGUGAAUAGCAUGGAGAAUUGGUUGGUGAAGCUUUGCUAUGAUUCUGAAAUUCCUGCUCCUUGUUUCAUCAAGUAGGAGAGAUAUCUGAGAGACCAAGGUCCAUUCUAUGGCUUUACCGUGGUGGUUCCUGGUGAACCAUAUGAGGUUGAAUUAAAUGCCAAGGGACGAUUUUCUAUGGUGGAAAAGGCUGCCCGCGAAGAUGCAGCAAUGGAGAUGCUUGGUCAAGUGCUUGAUAUCACUGGUAAGGAGAAUAAAGACUAUAGUUACUCAAAAGUUAAGCUUCUUCGUGAUAGUAACAAUGCACUUCAGGCUAAGGUCGGUUAAUUGGAGGAUGCUUACGAGAUGCUUAAGGCUAGUUAUAAAGCUACAGUGAACACUCGCAUUGAAGGUCAAUCUCCGUAACUUAUGUUUGGUUGAAUACAUUAUGGUGUAGUACGUAGGACGAGGGUGGUGGCUUAGUAAAUUUAGUUGUGUUAUGUAUGAGACUGUAGACUAGUUAAUUCUGUUGUAAGUUUGUGUUGGUGUUGAAUUAAUUAAUGAAACUAGAGUUAUGUUGUAGUAGUAUUUGUGCUAAUAUUCUACUAUAAAACUGGUGAUAGUGAGUACAUUUUUUGUGUAGUAUUGAGUACUUUAAAAUUUGUCUUAUGCUCUUGACAAAGGGUUAAAGUAUGCUUCAUUGAAAAGGCUGUUUUGAGGAUAUGAGUGAAUCAGACUUCGGAAGCGUGUUUGUAUUUGCAGUGGGAGGCAACCUCAUUGAAUGCAUUUAGCAUUUUCUAUGAAAUAUAAAGGCACGUUGUUUUGUGUCAUUGUCUCAGGGAUUUUAUUAUAACUUGAAUUAUGUUACAGUGCUUUUGUGAUUGUAGUGACACAAGCAAAUUUGGAAUAACAUAUGAUGUUUUCAGGUCGAUAGCUUUAUGUGGUACUUGAAUUAAGAUUCAACUAAGAAUGAUUUCAAUAAUAUUUACACAGGCUUAAAUUCUAAUAAAGGCUAAUACGCAGUAGUUUUUAGGAUGUAGACUUAAACCUCACAAUUAACUGUAAUAAGUUGAAAUAAUAAAAUUCUGAAUGAAUUUUCAACUUGUAGAUUUGCCUAUUAAGGAUGGCUAGGUAAAGCACCAAUAAAGUAAUGGUUAAUAAGAAAAUGGCAGCUGCAUUAAUAGAUAUACGUGGAGGCUUAGUUCCUUAUAAUAGUAGAGGACCUUUAGGCAGCAAAUCCUGUUGUGUUGGCAGUGGUGGAUCGGAGCCAGGGUCGUAGCCAUCAACAAUUGGUGCAUGAGGAACCUUGAGCUGAGUGUGGUCUUUAGCAGCACCUUCUAUUAGACUGCCUUGGAGGUGGUCUUCAACAUACCAUUCAGUUUGAGCUCCCAUGGUUUGGCUGAUGUACUCAGCCCAUGCUAGUCUUGCAUCAUCAAUGUUUCUGAAGGAUUAGUAUGAGUUACCACUAAACCCAUCAACUUGUGCAUGGCAUGCCAGCCAAGUUGUAUAAAUUUCUGGGUUUUUCCUUACGAAAAACCACAUAGACUUUCUUGUUUUGUCUCACCAUGAUGGGUGAAGAUUUGAUGCAAAUUGUUUGUGGAAUUGUCUCCCUUGGUGGACUUUUCGUUCUUAUAAAUGAUAAUAGAGGGUGUAGUUAGGUGGAAUAAUUAAUGAGAUCAUUUAAUUCUUUCAUGGCCUCACAAAUAUUUAAAUAAAUAUCUUAAAUAAGGCACCUCAUAAAGCUGCUAUAAACUAAGAAAAAGUUUGUCUGUCUGAUACAGUCCAUGUACAGUGGUUACCCAGGAAGGUCUGCUCUGGUUAUGCAGACAAAAGAUGUUAGCAACAAAGUAUACUUUGGCGGAAAAAUAUAUAGAGGGAAAAUCAUGUUAUAUAUACUAUAACAUAAACAUCUGCUAUUGCAACCUUCAUUAAUUCAUAAUCUUAUGAUAGUUGCACAUGCAAACGUUGAAGAGGUGCAUGGCCGCUCCUAAUAGGUGUCAUUUUUUUUCAUGUAUAAUAAGUUGAGUAGUGUUGCUACAUAUAGGUAAACUAGGUGACAUUAUUCUUGUAUGGUGUUCUAGUUGUCUCUUUUGUAGGUCUCCUGAGUAUUCACUUUAUGGAAAGGUAUCUUCCAAGAGUGACGAGAUGGCAGCAACAUUUUGUUGUCAUCACAGCUACAUGAAGACAUGUCCGAAUACAUUCUUGACAGUCCUCUCCCGAAUGUUCUAAAGAAUCCAACACAGUUGGGGUGUUAAUGAUAAUGACAUCCCAAACUUGACGGCUCCCGACUCCGACGAGGAUGAACUAGGCGGUCAAUUAACAGCUCCCAUGAGAAAGAAUAGGAGGCUAUUUGAUACACCAAGGGGAACUGCAUCAGCCCCUGCCAAGCGUUCCAGAGCAGCUUCUUGUUCUAAAGUGACUCGAAAGAGUAUAAAGACGAAUUUCAAGCCUCAUCAUGAUAUGGACCUUAAUUGGGCUGAUACUGUGCUAUUCAAGUUUUUGUUUUCCGAUGGGCACCCUUUAGAAUUCAAUCUCUCAUGCCUGGCCGUGAGAUUGAUGGCAGGGUUGUUGAAAUGGUUGUGAUGCUGAAUGCAUGCUCGAUACAACACCUGAGACAUGCACGCUACUGGAUUCUUCCUCCCAAAUUUGCUGAUGACGUGAUCUGAGGUGUAUCAAUAGAGGAGCUCGUUGAAACAUAUGUCCCAUUCUGGGUCAAACCAAGCAGAUAUCUUGAUCAUAUAUUCGUUCCUGUAGAAGACAUCUUCAUGCACUGGUGGUGUAUGGUCGUUGACUUCCCUAACCAAUGUGCUUACUUAUUGGACUCGUGGCCAGAGCCAAACAUGGUCACUGAUAGGGAGAAACUUAUGUGGACAAUGCUAGGGAGGCUUCAUGAGGUGAUGACUUCUCCAGCUUAUGGACCUCCUGCAGUUUACACUCCUAGCAAGCUUCCUGACUGGCCAAUCCGUAAAGGCCAAGGAAUCCCCAAUUGCAGUACAAGUUACAACUCUGCUUCUUGGGUGAUAUCAUGGCUACACCAUGAGGGAAAUUUCAACCCAUUGCAAAUAAGUGGAACGGAAAUUUGCCUAAGCUGUGCUUGUUUUGAUAACGUCUCCAGCUUGAUGAUUAUAUUCUGCGUGGGAAUACUGCUGUUUUGCUUGCUGGAGGAACAUUCAAUGUAGUUGGAAAUUUGGUGAGGAUUUGGGCUGCAGAUUGGCACGGAGGUGUAUAGGCAUGAGCAUACAUGGGUACCGUUACCAAGUCAUUGACAGUCGUAGUUUCAGAUGGACUAAAUUUAUAGUUCGCUCCAUGGGAUGGGAUAAAUCCAUGGCCUAAAUAAGCUCCUUUGCGUAUGAAAAAUGACCCAAAGUUAGCAGCAGUGUUUAGAAUUUAUUAACUACUUCGUCUUAUUUUGUGUGGUUUGUAAUCAUAAUAUUUUAUGCAAUGACGGUGGCUGUAUUGGUUAUUAAAUUUAUCCAGGA